rnacentral:misc_RNA from 1 species
AACUGAUACUACCUGCGGGAACCUGCGGAGGGAUCAUUAGUGUACGCCCUCACGGGCUUAUAACUAUUCCAAACCUCUGUGAACCGUGCCCUUCGGGGCUAUUUUACAAACAUGGUGUAAUGAACGUCAUAUAUCAUAACAAAACAAAACUUUUAACAAUGGAUCUCU